rnacentral:rRNA from 1 species
UACAGAGGGCGCGAGCGUUGUUCGGAUUCACUGGGCGUAAAGGGUCUGUAGGUGGUCUGCUAAGUCAGACGUGAAAUCCCUCAGCUUAACUGGGGAACUGCGUCUGAUACUGGCGGACUUGAGGACAGGAGAGGAACGCGGAAUUCCAGGUGUAGCGGUGAAAUGCGUAGAUAUCUGGAGGAACACCGGUGGCGAAGGCGGCGUUCUGGACUGUUUCUGACACUGAAAGACGAAAGCCAGGGGAGCAAACGGG